CCUCGCCACCGCUCCCUCGAAGGCCGCCCCCCGCUCCACCCCCAGCACUGGGCGCCCGCGCCUCCCAACUCAGCCCGCCGCCGAGCAGACGGCGCGCCGCGAGAGGGAGCUUGAGCUCUUGAGAAAGACAUGAAGGCCCUUGCCGCUGUCGGCAUCACUCCUUCCUCCCUAAUCCGGUCAGUUAAUUGCUGAGUGCUCGCUUCCUGAUCUGCGUGAUGGCCUCGGAACCGGGCUGCGUGUAGACCUGGGUGACUAUCAGCUCAGCUCCCAAGUGGAGGGCCUCGGAAGACGCUCUGUGCGGCCUACUAACAAGCACGAGACUACUGUGACCUGCUCCGUGCAACACAAUUAGAGGGUCAUUGAUAAUCGGAACCUAUCAAGAAGAGGACGCUGAAAGAAUACUGUAUUAUGUUGAAUGAGGAAUUGAAGGGAAGGAAGGCAUUUAGCAGACUGGAAAAAAACAGCAAGAGGACCCUAAACCUGUCUGAAUUUGCAAGGGUUUAAUAUUAAAAAGGUGACGGUACUUAUUUUAUGUGACUAUAUAUUGUAUGCCCCCACCCCCCCAAAAGCAGAAAUAAGACAAACGGGUAGAAGCUUUAGGAUGGCAGAUUCACAGCAGUUUAAUACGAGAAAGAACUUCUAACAGAACUGGUUGGAAAGGGAACAGGUUGUUUUUUUGUGUAUUAAUGGUGGAAAUCACAGGGAAUUUUCAAAAUGGAUGACCUUUGUGGUAAUGGUGGAGUUUGAAUUCAGUAAGGGUUGAAUUAGAUGACUUUCAAGAUCCUUCCAUUUCUAAAAGUUAUGAUUCUGUGACCCAGAAAGCCUAAUAGUUCUCCGACACCAGAAAGCAUGAAAGCUGGAAACCAGAUUAAAAAAAGAGCAGUCAGCCAAACAGUCAGAAGGUAGGUCAGGUGUACAGUAACAAAUUUAAGAUCUGAUUAUCUUUCAGUCUACCUAUCAUCAUUUAACUCUGGUAGACCAUGAAGUACAACACUCUCAGUGACUUACCACAUCCAUAGGUGCUCUGACUUAUUACAGAUAAAGAUAUCCAUUAUGCAUAAUUAGCUUCUUUAUCUGACUCAAAUCUGAAGCUAAAGAUUAUUCUGGACAUGAUUUCCUGGAUAGAUGGCCAGCUAAGUUGUGUUUCAGAUAGGAGGAUCACUUAAUUAACUAGGCAACACAGGUAUUUUAGUAUAUUAAUCACUUCCCUAGGUAGGCAAGUUCUAAAUCACCCUUUUCUCCUAUAUGAGGACACAUGGAGCUACUGUUUUCUGUUCCCGUGUUACUCUUUAAUCUCUGUCAGUGUUGUACUUUUGAACUUCCACUUUGUAACACUGCACUACACUAAACACUAUAUGUAGCAAGCAUUCUAUACGUUUGUAGAAGAUUUUAGUAAAUAUGUACUUUCAAAUGCUAUAUAACACAUCUGCAACUUGUUUUGCAAACUGGGGGUCUGAAGUCUUUGGACAAGUCUGCAUUCCACCACCUGCCAUAUGUGCUCCUUAACCUGGCUUCCAAUCUCAAAGCUGCAUUCACUUAUUUUAAAUCUUGAGGAGCAGGAUAGGUGUUGACAAUGUGUUACUUAGAAUGUUCCAAGUAUUCCCUAAUCUCUGGGUCAUUCCUGUCAAAACAGGAGUGUGACUACACAGUGACCAGGAUGCAAGCUGAUGAUAUUUUUGCUUCUAAUCUGAGAAAAGAAAUUGCUUUUGUGCAGACUGGUAUCUCUAGGGUGACUUUGUUCUAAAUGCUAAUAUCUUAUUCUAAAUAUCAUCAAUUGUCAAAUAUCUUUGAAAUAAAAUUCUGCAAAAAAAGUACACACUUCAGAAUUUCUGAAU
ensembl:lncRNA novel transcript, antisense to MRPS28